rnacentral:rRNA from 1 species
GGGUGACCUCAGAUCAGGUAGGGAUACCCGCUGAACUUAAGCAUAUCAAUAAGCGGAGGAAA